GACAGAGGCCUCAAGCGUUAGGCGGAAUCACUGGGCUUAAAGCGUGUGUAGGCGGAUCGUUAAGUACCUUGUGAAAUCCCACGGCUCACCCGUGGAACUGCUGGGUAUACUGGCGAUCUUGGGCCAACUAGGGGCAGCUGGAACAAGCGGUGGAGCGGUGAAAUGCGUAGAUAUCGCUUGGAACGCCGAAGGUGAAAAACAGGCUGCUGGGGGUUGUGCCGACGCUGAGACACGAAAAGCCCAGGGGGAGCAAAACGGGG
rnacentral:rRNA from 1 species